GGAAGACAGGUUUCUACCUAGUAUAAGGAAGCCCUUUCUGACAACUAGAGGUCCCCAGAGGGCCCAGGUGAGAAAGUCACCAUCACUGAGGACCUCGGGCUGACACUGGAUCAGUAUCUAGGGGGGCCGCUGCCGAGGUUGGGAGAUUGGGUCCGUGACCCUGAGAUUCAAUGGUUUGGGGCACUUGGUAUAUCCAGAAGCAGGACAAGGCCUAGCAGCUGUUCACCAGCUGCCUUCCAUGUGGCCAUCUUGCAGUUUAUUCCCAGAUGGUCAGACCCCUCACCCUCCGAGGUCACAGGGCCAGCUGCAGGGGAGUGGGCCAGCCCUUCUUCGCUCUGGGAGCCCUCGGGCGGGCAGGACGCAGAGAGGAGGAGAGAGAUGAAGCCGAGAGCCCCUCUGGGAAGAGAGAACCAGCCUUUCACAUUCCAGGGGAACUCAGAGACUGGAGCCCCGGCAGCUACCCCAGCUCUGGGGGGCAAGGCUGGCAGAUGAGGCAGGAGAGUGAGAAAGAACCAGUGAAGGUGGGGCAGGGGGUUGCCCGUCAGUGCGAGGCCACAGUUAACAGGCAGCUGGAAGGGAAAACAAAAGGAGUGACUGACGGGCACACACUCACCUGGCUUCCUACACAUCAGCAAGAUAUGUGUUUCUUGCCAAAGAGCAUCCGGGGAUCCCAGAGGUAAUUGUUUUCCCUGAGCCCACAUACAUAGUGGCUUUUUAUAUACUAUAUACUUUAUACUUUAUACUCUAGGGAUUUUUUUUCUCUUCUCUUUUCAGCCUGUGCACCACUCCUCCCCACCCCCCGGAGCGUCUUCUCUCCUCUUCUUCCCAGGCUAACAUCCUACCAUCUGCUCCCAAGAUGACCGAUAUUGCCCACCUUACUUCCCUGGGGAUGGAUGGGUCCAGGACUCAUCCCUCCCCCAGGUGCUAUAAUUUGAGGCGCUGCCCAGCUGGAAUGGACCCGGGGCCUCCCCAGGCUGCCCUCCCGCCACUGUGAGUUGGCUGGCCUCUGCCCUCUGCCCUCUUCUGCCAUUAACCCUGUCACCUGCCGGACAUCAGCCCCCGGGCCCAGUCUGUCAUCCGUGGCCAAAGAUGGAUGGGGGGCGGCUGGGAAGCAUAAGUGGCGACCCCUUAAUGAGAUCUGGCGGGGGAGGGCUGGGCUCUCCCAGGCAGCAGCAGGGCCAGGUUGGCAAUAACGGCCCUUGUUGAGCGUGACCCAUUUUGCUUCUGUGGA
rnacentral:lncRNA from 1 species